rnacentral:rRNA from 1 species
AGUGAACGCUGGCGGCAGGCCUAACACAUGCAAGUCGAGCGGCAGCGCGGUGUAGCAAUACACUGGCGGCGAGCGGCGGACGGGUGAGGAAUGCGUCGGAAUCUGCCUCUUUGUGGGGGAUAACGUAGGGAAACUUACGCUAAUACCGCAUACGACCUACGGGUGAAAGUGGGGGACCGCAAGGCCUCACGCAGAGAGAUGAGCCGACGCCGGAUUAGCUAGUUGGCGGGGUAAAGGCCCACCAAGGCGACGAUCCGUAGCUGGUCUGAGAGGAUGAUCAGCCACACUGGAACUGAGACACGGUCCAGACUCCUACGGGAGGCAGCAGUGGGGAAUAUUGGACAAUGGGCGCAAGCCUGAUCCAGCCAUGCCGCGUGUGUGAAGAAGGCCUUCGGGUUGUAAAGCACUUUUGUCCGGAAAGAAAUCCCACCUGCUAAUACCGGGUGGGGAUGACGGUACUGGAAGAAUAAGCACCGGCUAACUACGUGCCAGCAGCCGCAGUAAAAC